AACGUAGGUUCCGAGCGUUAUCCGGAUUUACUGGGCGUAAAGCGUGUUCAGGCGGCUCAGCAAGUCGGGCAUGAAAUCUCUCGGCUCAACCGGGAGAGGCUGUCCGAUACUGCUGGGCUUGAGGGCAGUAGAGGGUGGUGGAAUUCCGGGUGUAGUGGUGAAAUGCGUAGAUAUCCGGAGGAACACCAGUGGCGAAAGCGGCCACCUGGACUGUACCUGACGCUGAGGAGCGAAAGCGUGGGGAGCGAACAGG
rnacentral:rRNA from 1 species